rnacentral:rRNA from 1 species
GAUGAACGCUGGCGGCGUGCUUAACACAUGCGAGUCGAACGAAGCACCUUGAUUCGAUUCUUCGGAUGAAGAUCUUGGUGACUGAGUGGCGGGCGGGUGAGUAACGCGUGGGUAACCUGCCUCAUACAGGGGGAUAACAGUUAGAAAUGACUGCUAAUACCGCAUAAGACCACAGCACCGCAUGGUGCAGGGGUAAAAACUCCGGUGGUAUGAGAUGGACCCACGUCUGAUUAGGUAGUUGGUGGGGUAACGGCCUACCAAGCCGACGAUCAGUAGCCGACCUGAGAGGGUGACCGGCCACAUUGGGACUGAGACACGGCCCAAACUCCUACGGGAGGCAGCAGUGGGGAAUAUUGCACAAUGGGGGAAACCCUGAUGCAGCGACGCCGCGUGAGCGAUGAAGUAUUUCGGUAUGUAAAGCUCUAUCAGCAGGGAAGAAAAUGACGGUACCUGACUAAGAAGCACCGGCUAAAUACGUG